rnacentral:rRNA from 1 species
GAUGAACGCUGGCGGCGUGCCUAAUACAUGCAAGUCGAGCGAACAGACGAGGAGCUUGCUCCUCUGACGUUAGCGGCGGACGGGUGAGUAACACGUGGAUAACCUACCUAUAAGACUGGGAUAACUUCGGGAAACCGGAGCUAAUACCGGAUAAUAUAUUGAACCGCAUGGUUCAAUAGUGAAAGACGGUUUUGCUGUCACUUAUAGAUGGAUCCGCGCCGCAUUAGCUAGUUGGUAAGGUAACGGCUUACCAAGGCAACGAUGCGUAGCCGACCUGAGAGGGUGGUGGCCCCCCUGGGAACGAGACCCGGGACAGGCCCCCAGGGGGGGGAGCAAGAGGGAAUCCUCCGGCAGGGGGGAAAACUUGGGCGGACCACCCCGGCGUGAGAAAGAAGGUUCUCGGGAUCAAAAACCUUUUUUUUGGGGAAAAAACAAUUGUGAAAGAAACAAGACCCUUCUGGAGGGUCCCUAAUAAAAAGCCCCGGCCUAACUACGUC